rfam:Mycobacterium tuberculosis H37Rv complete genome.
UUUGAUCGACCCCAACCACAGGGGCUCAACGCGGUCCUGACCGUAGGUCGCCAAAAGCGCCUGCGCCUC